rnacentral:rRNA from 1 species
AUGAACGCUGGCGGCGUGCCUAAUACAUGCAAGUCGAGCGAACAGACGAGGAGCUUGCUCCUUUGACGUUAGCGGCGGACGGGUGAGUACACGUGGGUAACCUACCUAUAAGACUGGGAUAACUUCGGGAAACCGGAGCUAAUACCGGAUAAUAUUUCGAACCGCAUGGUUCGAUAGUGAAAGAUGGCUCUGCUAUCACUUAUAGAUGGACCUGCGCCGUAUUAGCUAGUUGGUAAGGUAACGGCUUACCAAGGCAACGAUACGUAGCCGACCUGAGAGGGUGAUCGGCCACACUGGAACUGAGACACGGUCCAGACUCCUACGGGAGGCAGCAGUAGGGAAUCUUCCGCAAUGGGCGAAAGCCUGACGGAGCAACGCCGCGUGAGUGAUGAAGGUCUUCGGAUCGUAAAACUCUGUUAUUAGGGAAGAACAAACGUGUAAGUAACUGUGCACGUCUUGACGGUACCUAAUCAGAAAGCCACGGCUAACUACGUG